AACGAACGCUGGCGGCAUGCCUAACACAUGCAAGUCGAACGAGACCUUCGGGUCUAGUGGCGCACGGGUGCGUAACGCGUGGGAACCUGCCCUUAGGUUCGGAAUAACUCCCCGAAAGGGGUGCUAAUACCGGAUAAUGUCUUCGGACCAAAGAUUUAUCGCCUUUGGAUGGGCCCGCGUUGGAUUAGCUAGUUGGUAGGGUAAAAGCCUACCAAGGUGACGAUCCAUAGCUGGUCUGAGAGGAUGAUCAGCCACACUGGGACUGAGACACGGCCCAGACGCGGGGGGGAGGCAGCGGUGGGGAACAUAGGCGAAGGGGAGAAAGGGUGAUAGAGUAAUACCGGGUUGGUGAAGAAGGACUUCUGGUGGGAAAGAGGUGUAGUUGGGAAAGAGAAGAAGCAGGUUCAGCCAGCGAUGUACGGACGGGAACGAAAGAAUAAGCACCGGCUAACCGCGUG
rnacentral:rRNA from 1 species